AAGUGCAGAAUUCUCCUUGAUUUUUUCUCCAAGAAUUCUCUCUUGAGUUUUCUUUAGAAGUUGUUUUAACAAUCUUUUGAUUGUGGGAGCCAUCUUCAGCCUUCUUCUUGCCAUUGAUAUUCUUUGGAGGGGAGAUUAGAGUCGUUUCAAGGGAGUUGUGAGAUCUUUCGGGAUUUCAAGAUCUGAUUGUUUAGAGCUUUCGUAGGAGUUUCCCGUGACUUGGCAACUCGAUCUUGGUCCGCGCGCAACUCUCUUGAGUUUUCUUUAGAAGUUGUUUUAACAAUCUUUUAAUUGUGGGAGUCAUCUUCAGCCUUCUUCUUGCCAUUGAUAUUCUUUGGAAGGGAGAUUAGAGCCGUUUGAAGGGAGUUGUGAAAUCUUUCGGGAUUUCAAGGCUUCUUAGGACUUAUCUUUUAAUUUCUUGCUGUCAAUUUUUUUCUUUUAAAUUCUGCUUGUGUCGAUUUUAUUUAAUCACUUUGUUUGCUGUUCUUGUUGCGUUUCAGGCGUUCCAAAGCAUUCCAAAUCUGAUUCGCCCUCUUCUUUACUAAAGAUCGGAUCGUCUUUUUGUUCUUGGCCGCAAAAUUCGUUCAAAAUCCCUAAAUUCCUUGUUCUUGCCGAUUUCUUCUUUUCAGAUUUGGGUUGUUUUGAUUGCUGGAAUUUUGGGGAAAUUUAACUUGCUGUUUGUGUCUUUCUUUUCAGAUUCGGCAGAUUAGAGUAUUCUUUGGGGUUCAAUUACAUGUUCUUGAUUCCCCAAGAACCUUUAUUAACACUUAUUCCUAUUCUCAAUUUGAUUCUUUGCUGCUUUGGGGAUUUUUAUUUCAGAUCUGGAAAUUCAAAGUUCUAAUCUUUUAAUUUCUGUUUCGUUUCAGAUCUGUUCGUUUAGAGCCUCAUAGGAGUUUUCUCGUGACUUGGCAACUCGAUCUUGGUCCGCGCGCAACCCUCUAUCGUUUGGCUUGAUACGAGUCACAAAGGCCUUAGGAUGCGUACACGAAAGAAAGAGAAAAUCAAGAUUCACUUUCUUGUUUUCAAGAAAAUCAAGAAACCGAAUAUUGACCCAAUCUUGCUGUUUGGAGCGAUUUCAAGAAUCAAGAAAAUCAAGAUUUCAAUUCUUGGAAAUCUUGGUCCAAGAAACCAAAUCUUGCAGCCAAAGCGCAUUGGAUCUCCAUUACGAGCAUCAACGAACCAAUUUCGGUAGAAGAUAGAAUACAAGCCCAAGUUCUUGAAGGCAAGGCCCAAUAAGAUGAUUCCAAGCCCAAACAAGAAGACAAACCAUACUUACUUGAAAAUCAGGUCAAAUUGUCAAAGAGGCCCAAUUUGUAAAGUUUUAUUUUUUUAAAUACUUAGUUUAAAUUUUUAUGUAGAUAUUCAGUCUAAGAGGCCCAAUUAAAAGCCCUUGGCCGAAUUUUCAUUUAAAUAUUAAAAUAAUUGGGAGUUUUUUUAUUUUUAGUUUUCUAAUUAGAUUAGGAAAACACUUGAGAGGCCUAUAUAAAGGCUUGGCCGGCCACCUUGUGAUUCACUUCUCAAAUAUAUUAAAAAUUUCAGAUUUGUUUAA